UGGGGCUUCAGACUAAAGGGGCGUAUGAAUAUUUGGGCUACCCAACAGGGCAAGGGACAAACAAAACAAAAUAUAAAUUUUUAAAAGUUUUUUAUAACAUAAGUUCAUUCCUGCUACUUACAGAUUUAGUAUGACUUUCUUAAUUCAUAUAUAAUAAAAUGCUUCAUUGAGCGCAGCCUGAUACGCCCACAGAAGAUGAACUCUGAACAGUUGUGGCAAAUUUGGACACAAUAUUCAAGCUUGAUAAAAUUUUUGACAUAGCAUACAUGUAGAUUUCUGCCACAAAAUAAAUGUCAAGAUCUUACAAAUCUAUUGAACAGUAUUGUGCAAUUAAAGAUUCUUCUUGAAAAUUAAAAACAAUUUGAAAUUUGAAAAUUUUGUUAAAAGAAUUCGAACUCCCAAAACUCUUUGAAUCCCCCCUUGGAGCAAUUACCCCUGCACUCAAACCCAGCCUUUCCUUUGUAGUAUGAUUUCAGAAAGAUCCAUUCUUUUUUAAAAACACGAGUUAUUGUCCGGAAAGUAGAAGUUAUUGUCUGGAAAGUAGAGGCUCUAAAGAGCCUGUGUCAUUCACCUUGGUCUAUGUGCAAGCAGCAAAUAAUACAAAGGACACAAAUUAUAGACCAGAAUAGAAUUCAUGAUAAAAUUGUGUUUUGGUGAUGAUGUGUUUGUUAAUCUCACUUUACUGAACAUUCUUGCUGUUUACAAUUUUCUCUAUCUAUAAUGAACUUAGCUCAGAAGUAUCAAAGGAAAACAUUUUGUAAAAGUUUACAAAAAUUGUUUAAAAUCUAUCAUAAAUAGAAAUAAGUCCUAAAGGGGUCAAUUGAUCGUUUUUGGUAAAGUUGACUUGUAGAUCUUACUUUGCUAUACAUAAUUGCUGUUUACAGUUUAUCUCUAUCUAAGAUAAUAUUGAAGAUAUUAACCAAAAACUGCAAAAUUUUCUAAAAAUUACCAAGUCAGGGGCAGCAACCCAACAACAGUUGCCUGAUUUGUCUCAGACACAUUUUUUAAACUAGAUACCCCAAUGAUGAUUGUGGCCAAGUUUGGUUAAAUGUAACAUCUCCAAAAUUCAAACUUGGUCUGUAUUUUGUGGUAAAAAGCAUUGUGUAAAGUUUCAUAACAUUUGGUUGAGGCAAACUAAAGGUAAAGAACAGAAACCCAAAAUUCAGCAAUUUUUCCAUUUGUUAAGGGGCAUAACUCUAGAACAGUUGAAGUGACAUCAGCAAAAUUAAAACUUGGAACUGUUUUUUGUGGUAAUAAACAUUGUGUACAAGUUUCAGAACAUGAAGCAAACAGAAAUCUUUUUAAAUAUAGUUUUGGUCAAGGAAAAAUAAAAUGGGCCAUGUCACAGAUUUUGCAUACCAACUUGGCUCUUAGAACUACAACUGAAUAUCGAAAAAAUAAUGCAUUUAUUUCUUUAAAUUAUCUGAAAUAUUACAGAUUGAUGUCUUUCAAAAUGGGGGAAUAUUUGUAUAGAAAGCAGUUAUUCUGUGUCAAAAAUUUAAUUACAAUCCAAAUUCAGAUCUGCAUCAAGCAUGAAUAUUGUGGCCCAAACUGUUCAGGGUUGGACAUCUGUGGUUGUAUCCAGCUGUGCUCAGCAAAGCAAUUGUAAAAUAAUAAUCAAAAAUAUAAUAACAACAACCAGUGAUGACUAGUUCUCUAAAAUUAGAUAUGAAAAUCAUAUGAUUCAACACUCAAACAUGGUUAAACUCAGCAUAUCAAAGAACCCAAGAAUUCAAUUGUUGUUAAACAACAAAAAUUUAAUUUAGGACCCUAAAUUGGACCUCAAUGUGGUAUUAUCUAACUAAUAAUGAAAGUUAAUACAGGUUUAGAUUUAGCAUUUAUGUAUAUAUUCAAUUUAUGUUCAAAUCAAACACAGUUUAAUUUAGGACACCCAUUUGGACCAACUUGAAAACUGGGCUCAAAAAGAGAAAUCUAAAUAUAUAGAUAUAGGAAAUUAUAGUAUGCCAAUGAGACAACUCUCCAUCCACAAUUAAUAAAAGUAAACUAUUAUAGGUCAAGGACAGUCUCCAACAGAGAGCCUUGGUUCACACCGAACAUCAAGCUAUAAAAGGCCCCAAAAAUUACUAGCGUAAAACCAUUUAAACGGGAAAACCGACAGACUAAUCUAUAUUAAAAAAAAAAUAAAUUAAUAGAUAAUAUAAGCUUAGUUUUUAAGGAGUUGACCUGAUAAAAAAAUAAAAUUUGUAAGGGUUCCACGGAACCCAGUGUCUCGCCUACUUUUGCUGUAAAUUAAAGGCUCAACAAAAAAUUAAAAAAAAUAAAAAAAAAUAUUCCUCUUGAUACUAUCUUUUGAUUGUAAGAAGCUCUGUCCAAGUUUGGUACAAAUUAAAAAUAGUAUAAGAAAGUUAUUAAUUUUUUUUUAAAUUUAACCACAGAGUGAAUGUGUUGUUGUUUCCUGGCAGAAAAUCUAAGUCCAUUUAAAAGUAAAAUAAGGAAAAAAUGAUUUUUUUUUUUUUUAAAUCUACUUCUGGAUACUAUCUUAUGUAUGAUCAUAGACAAGCUUCUGUCCAAGUUUUGUACAAACCCAGGAUAGUUUAAGAAAGUUAUUAAAAUCUUAAAAACUUUAACCACAGAGUGAAUGUAGUGUUUACCCGCAGAAAAAACUAAGUCCAUUUAUAAGUAAAAUAAGGAAAAAAUGGAAUUUUAUUUUUACAAAAUUUACUUCUGGAUACUAUCUUGUGAUAAUAAACAAGCUUCUGUCCAAGCUUGAUAGAAAUCCAGUAUAGUUUAAGAAAGUUAUCAAAAUUUCAAAAACGUUAACCACAGAGUGAAUAUUUGUGGACAGAAAUGUAGGAUCACUUAGUCUCACUUUUCGACUAAAGUCGAAGGCUCGACAAAAAUAUAAAGCAUUCAGAAAAUUUGUUUUUACAGAAUAACAAACAAACUUGUCACAAAUUUCUUCAAACAUUUUACCAAAGAAAAGAGAAGAAAGUUCAAAAUUUUAUUCAUCAUAAUGCAAUGUCU
rnacentral:lncRNA from 1 species